rnacentral:lncRNA from 1 species
UGGGGAUACAACUUACACAAAAGUCUUUGUUGGUGGGUUGGCUUGGGAAACACCAACUGAUAUAAUGCGACGUUAUUUCGAGCAAUUUGGAGAGAUUCUUGAAGCUGUUAUCAUUGCUGACAAGAACACUGGCAAAUCUAAAGGCUAUGGUUUCGUAAGUUCUAUUAUUGUUUCUCACUUUGAAGCUGUUAUCAUCGCUGACAAGAACACUGGCAAAUCUAAAGGCUAUGGUUUCGUAAGUUCUAUUAUUGUUUCUCACAUUAUGUCAUUUAAUUUGCUGAUCAAAAUAAUGUAUAUAUGAUUUUGCGUGGACGGAAACAG